AGAUGGAGUUUCACCAUGUAGCCCAGGCUGGUCUUGAACUCCUGGGCUCAAACAAACCACCUGCCUCAGCCUACCAAUGUGCUGGGAUUAUAGGAGUGAGCCACCACACCUGGCGUUAUCUGAGCUUCUUAGUAUGUGCUCCAUCCAUGUAUCAUUCAGAGGUGGAACUCACAUUUCUUCCAAUUUAAGCUGCACCUCCUCAGUGAUGUGGCCCCCCUAAUAGUCCUCUACACAGUGACCCCUCCUCCUUUGGAAUCGUUAUUGUCAUUUGGAACCAUAGUAGCUUGUCUCCAAAGAUGGCCUUCCAGUAACUCAUGCUUCCUGAUGAUCAGGCCCUAAAUAGGUUGUCCUUGUGACUUCCAUCUUGACCCAUAGAAUGUGGUGGAAGUAGCAUUGGAUGACGUCCAAGGUUAGUUCAUAAAAAGCCUUGUGGAUUCUUCCUCAGCCUCUAGAAACACUUGCUCUUGGAGCGUAUGCUUUGAGGAAAUCCAAAUGUCAUAUGAGAUGCCUGAGACCACCUAUCUCAGACUAUUGUGGGAGAGACUACUGUGCUGUGAAGAAGUACAAAGUAGCCAUGUGAAGAUACCAUACGGAGAAAGACAGAUGCCUAGGUAGCCCCUAGCUGUGCCAGCCAUCCCAUCAGAAUCACCACACAUAAGAGUAAAGGAAUCAUUGUGGAUGUCCAGCCUAGUCAAGCCUGUAGAUGAUUCCAGUUCCAGUUGCCAUCUGUCAGUAACUGCCUGAGACCCAAGACAAGAACCACCCAGCUUAGCCCAGUAAAUCCACAGAAUCACGUGUUAUCAUGAUAAUAAAUUGUUUUUUUAAGCAA